UUGAGUGGGUCUAAAACUUCCUUAUUCUAGGUUAUUUGGUACUGCCUUCUUUUGUGGACUCCUAGGAAUUCCGUAUAGAGAAAAAGACAGUCUUCAAGUUGAACUAGCUCUAGGGUUGCUGAAACGGUCUAAAACUUCCUUAUUCUAGGUUAUUUGGUACUGCCUUCUUUUGUGGACUCCUAGGAAUUCCGUAUAGAGAAAAAGACAGUCUUCAAGUCGAACUAGCUCUAGGGUUGCAGAAACCUCUAUGCCUUCGACGGAGUACAUGUUUCUGAAGUUCCAUUCUUUACUAGCGGGGCAAAACCUCUGCCUUAAGGAAAAGUGUAUAACCCCAAGGCUACGAACCAAAGGAGAGAGGCUAGGUCUCAAUCAAUAGAAAGAAAAGCAAAAAGUCUUAGCCCACACUAAAAGAAUCAAAAUAGUUAACUGGCGAAAAAAAGAGAGAGCGUUGAGAGAAUCGGUAUGGUCAUAGCAACAUCCUUCUUAUUACAGCACAAACCACAAAAAAGGAAUUGCCUAUAGAGAGGAAGUAGGCUUUAGACAAAAAGUGCCUCUUGUGCCCCUAGUAGGGAAAGCAGCUGAGAUAGAGAGAGCAGCUCUCCCUUAAAGUCCUUUAUAGAUUUCUAGUCGGGAAUAGAGCUGUGGCUUAGAUCCCCUGAUCGAGUAAUGGGCUUUGUUUUUCUCUCGUUCACGUUGAUAGCCCCGGUUCAGUUCAAGCU
rnacentral:lncRNA from 1 species